CAGGAACGCUGGCGGCAGGCUUAACACAUGCAAGUCGAGCGCCCCGCAAGGGGAGCGGCAGACGGGUGAGUAACGCGUGGGAAUCUACCCAUCUCUACGGAAUAACGCAUGGAAACGUGUGCUAAUACCGUAUACGUCCUUCGGGAGAAAGAUUUAUCGGAGAUGGAUGAGCCCGCUUUGGAUUAGCUAGUUGGUGGGGUAAAGGCCUACCAAGGCGACGAUCCAUAGCUGGUCUGAGAGGAUGAUCAGCCACACUGGGACUGAGACACGGCCCAGACUCCUACGGGAGGCAGCAGUGGGGAAUAUUGGACAAUGGGCGCAAGCCUGAUCCAGCCAUGCCGCGUGAGUGAUGAAGGCCCUAGGGUUGUAAAGCUCUUUCACCGGUGAAGAUAAUGACGGUAACCGGAGAAGAAGCCCCGGCUAACUUCGUGCCAGCCGCCGCAGUAACAC
rnacentral:rRNA from 1 species